CUGGCGGCAGGCCUAACACAUGCAAGUCGAACGGUAACAGGAAGAAGCUUGCUUCUUUGCUGACGAGUGGCGGACGGGUGAGUAAUGUCUGGGAAACUGCCUGAUGGAGGGGGAUAACUACUGGAAACGGUAGCUAAUACCGCAUAACGUCGCAAGACCAAAGAGGGGGACCUUCGGGCCUCUUGCCAUCGGAUGUGCCCAGAUGGGAUUAGCUAGUAGGUGGGGUAACGGCUCACCUAGGCGACGAUCCCUAGCUGGUCUGAGAGGAUGACCAGCCACACUGGAACUGAGACACGGUCCAGACUCCUACGGGAGGCAGCAGUGGGGAAUAUUGCACAAUGGGCGCAAGCCUGAUGCAGCCAUGCCGCGUGUAUGAAGAAGGCCUUCGGGUUGUAAAGUACUUUCAGCGGGGAGGAAGGGAGUAAAGUUAA
rnacentral:rRNA from 1 species